UGACGAGUUCCAAAUAGGACGAAACGCGCGUC
rnacentral:hammerhead_ribozyme from 1 species